UGGUUCUGGCAUCGAUGAAGAACGCAGCGAAAUGCGAUAAGUAAUGUGAAUUGCAGAAUUCAGUGAAUCAUCGAAUCUUUGAACGCAUAUUGCGCCCAUUAGUAUUCUAGUGGGCAUGCCUGUUCGAGCGUCAUUUCAACCCUUAAGCCCCUGUUGCUUAGCGUUGGGAGCCUACAGUUCUGCUGUAGCUUCUCAAAGUUAGUGGCGGAGUCGGUUCACACUCUAGACGUAGUAAAUAUUAUCUCGUCUGCAGUUGCGCCGGCCCCUUGCCAUAAAACCCCUUCAUUUUUUUUUUAAAAAAGGUUGACCUCGGAUCAGGUAGGAAUACCCGCUGA
rnacentral:misc_RNA from 1 species